UUCAAGUUAUACAUAGGACUAAAAGAGCACAUGGCUUACCUAGGAGGUAAAGAUGAGAACAGCUUCUGCUUGCUGGGCACCGCCUUGAAAAGAAAUACUUUUGAUCGGCUUGGUGAGUAUUGACCUUCAGAUUACAUCAUUAGUGACUUUUUUUUUUUUUAAAUGUUAAACCUCUAUUGGAAAAAUACAUAUGUUGCUUUUAAAAUGGAAGCUUUCAGCAGCAUUUAGAACCAUCCAUAUGUUAUCGGUUUAGGCCAAAUGAACCAGCCAAUUUGAGAUCUGAGUGUUGGAAAGCUUAGGUGUAUAGUCACUCGAAAUGUCUGUCGCAUCACAGCUUGUAGAAGUUAUUUCCAAACGUCCCUUCACUUACAUGAUGCUUCUCCGAGAAGAGGUCCUGUUCUCCUAACUGGGGCCAGCCAUCCUUUCCUGAUGCUCCUGUGUGUUAUGCCUGCCUCAGAAGCAUCAUGUUCCCUCUGUACUGACUGCAUCUUUUUUUAAAAAAAAAAGUUAAAAAAAGAUUUAUAUUGGAGUAUAGUCGGCCUGCCGUGUUGUGUUAGUUUCAGGUGGACAGCAAAGUGAUUCGGUUAUACACACACAAAUAUCCAUGCUUUUUCAGAUUCGUUUCCCAUAUAGGUUAUGACUGGAUAUUGAGUCAUGUUUGCUGUGCUAUGCAGUAGGUCCCCGCUGAUUAUCUCUUGUAUAUAUGGUCGUGUGCGUAUGUGAAUCCCAAACACCGAAUUUAUCCCUCCCCAACCCCCAACUGCAUCCUUUUUGGCGUCCUUCGGUUCCCAAGUACCUGGGCCCCCUCCUGGAGGGCACAGGACCUGCGGGUUCAGGGCCACGUGGAGGACCCCACCCGGCAGCUCUGAUGUCCUGUCUUGGAGAGUUGCACUGAGCGGGUCACUUCCAACCUGCCAUCAGGGGAGAGAAGGCUUGCUGGGAUGAGUGAUGGACUGGCUUCUCUGGGAAGAAACGCCAAAAAUGAUAUGGAUGGUACAGAGCUCUACUUGGGCUCUGUGCUUGAAGUCCAAGAAGAACAGGAGAGGUUUUCUCAUGCUCUUUCUGGAGGCCUUGUCAUUUCCUGGGAACCUCCAUAUGCCAAGGGAGCGGCCCUAGAAAAGGCAAAAAAAGACAAAAAAAAAUGUUGUCUAUGACAGCUUUAUUCUCACCGAGAAUAAAGGCACGCAGCCUUCCCAUCGGAGUGCCCUCUUGAGAGGCUGCAUGCAUGUCUGCGCGAUUGUUUUCAUAAACUCAGAAUUUAGCUGCCAGCACUCAGGGCUCCCAUCGUGUGUAACCCGGUCUCUGCCCAGGAUCUGCCACGUUGUUCUCUCUCCCACUUGUCAAUAAAAGCCAAAGAUUUCUCUCACAGAAGCUCCGCAAUAAUUCCUGGGUCUGCAAGUCAUGUGCCCAAGGAAACUUUUUAAGUGGGGAAAAGGGUAGAAAUCCAGUUCAAACUCUUACGAGUUUUGGUGGAGGAGUCUAUGGACGAACAAAAGCUCCCUGGCAUCUUCUGGCAGACAUGUGAGAGAAGGCAGUGAUUGGAAUUAAUUUUUAGUGAGGGCUGCAUAUUUGAUAAUUGGUCUGAUUCACGCUAUUAUAUUCCUCUUCCUUCACCCACAGCAAAACAAGCUUAAUUUGAUUCAUCCCCUUAGGAAGAAAAAAAAAAAAAAA
rnacentral:lncRNA from 1 species